rnacentral:rRNA from 1 species
GACGUAGGGCGCGGGCGUGUCCGGAUUUAUUGGGCGUAAAGAGCUCGUAGGCGGCUUGUCGCGUCGAAUGUGAAAUCUCAGGGCUCAACUCUGACAUUGCAUUCGAUACGGGCAGGCUAGAGUUCGGUAGGGGAGACUGGAAUUCCUGGUGUAGCGGUGAAAUGCGCAGAUAUCAGGAGGAACACCGGUGGCGAAGGCGGGUCUCUGGGCCACUACUGACGCUGAGAAGCGAAAGCAUGGGGAGCGAACAGG